UUAAGUCAUAUGUUCAUGCAUACAUAUUUGGUGAUGACGGAUAUGUUUAUAUAUCCAAAUUGGUGAUGAUUUUGGUGAUGAUGGGCGACGGCCUAAAUAUUGGUGAUGACCGGUACCGCAUGCAUAUAGGUGUUGUGUCGGAUUUGGAGAUUUUAUGCUUAUGCAUUUUUGAGAUCAUUUGACAUGUAUGCUUGAUGUAUGAGAAUUUAUAUCCGCUGCGACUGAUGAG
rnacentral:lncRNA from 1 species